GAUGAACGCUGGCGGCGUGCCUAAUACAUGCAAGUCGAACGUGAUCUCUGACCUUCGGGUCGGGGUGAAAGUGGCGCCCGGGUGAGUAACACGUAGCUGACCUACCCUUCGCAGGGGGAUAACUUCGGGAAACCGAAGCUAAUACCGCGUACGCUCGGUGGAUUUAGAAACCAUCGAGGAAAGUCUUGGCGGCGAAGGAGGGGGCUGCGAUCCAUCAGCUAGUUGGUGAGGUAAAGGCUUACCAAGGCGACGACGGAUAGGGGACCUGAGAGGGUGACCCCCCACACUGGUACUGACACACGGACCAGACUCCUACGGGAGGCAGCAGUAAGGAAUAUUGCGCAAUGGGCGAAAGCCUGACGCAGCAACGCCGCGUGCGGGAAGAAGGUCUUCGGAUUGUAAACCGCUUUUCUGGGGGAAGAGAACGGACG
rnacentral:rRNA from 1 species